rnacentral:rRNA from 1 species
CACUAUCGUUAACUGAAUACAUAGGUUAACGAGGCGAACCGGGGGAACUGAAACAUCUAAGUACCCCGAGGAAAAGAAAUCAACCGAGAUUCCCCCAGUAGCGGCGAGCGAACGGGGAGCAGCCCAGAGUCUGAAUCAGCUUGUGUGUUAGUGGAACGGUCUGGAAAGUCCGACGGUACAGGGUGAUAGUCCCGUACACCAAAAUGCACAGGUUGUGAACUCGAAGAGUAGGGCGGGACACGUGGUAUCCUGUCUGAAUAUGGGGGGACCAUCCUCCAAGGCUAAAUACUCCUGACUGACCGAUAGUGAACCAGUACCGUGAGGGAAAGGCGAAAAGAACCCCGGCGAGGGGAGUGAAAAAGAACCUGAAACCGUGUACGUACAAGCAGUGGGAGCACCUUCGGGUGUGACUGCGUACCUUUUGUAUAAUGGGUCAGCGACUUAUAUUCUGUAGCAAGGUUAACCGUAUAGGGGAGCCGCAGGGAAACCGAGUCUUAACUGGGCGUUAAGUUGCAGGGUAUAGACCCGAAACCCGGUGAUCUAGCCAUGGGCAGGUUGAAGGUUGGGUAACACUAACUGGAGGACCGAACCGACUAAUGUUGAAAAAUUAGCGGAUGACUUGUGGCUGGGGGUGAAAGGCCAAUCAAACCGGGAGAUAGCUGGUUCUCCCCGAAAGCUAUUUAGGUAGCGCCUCGUGAAUUCAUCUUCGGGGGUAGAGCACUGUUUCGGCUAGGGGGUCAUCCCGACUUACCAACCCGAUGCAAACUACGAAUACCGAAGAAUGUUAUCACGGGAGACACACGGCGGGUGCUAACGUCCGUCGUGAAGAGGGAAACAACCCAGACCGCCAGCUAAGGUCCCAAAGUCAUGGUUAAGUGGGAAACGAUGUGGGAAGGCACAGACAGCCAGGAUGUUGGCUUAGAAGCAGCCAUCAUUUAAAGAAAGCGUAAUAGCUCACUGGUCGAGUCGGCCUGCGCGGAAGAUGUAACGGGGCUAAACCAUGCACCGAAGCUGCGGCAGCGACACUAUGUGUUGUUGGGUAGGGGAGCGUUCUGUAAGCCUGCGAAGGUGACCUGUGAGGGUUGCUGGAGGUAUCAGAAGUGCGAAUGCUGACAUAAGUAACGAUAAAGCGGGUGAAAAGCCCGCUCGCCGGAAGACCAAGGGUUCCUGUCCAACGUUAAUCGGGGCAGGGUGAGUCGACCCCUAAGGCGAGGCCGAAAGGCGUAGUCGAUGGGAAACAGGUUAAUAUUCCUGUACUUGGUGUUACUGCGAAGGGGGGACGGAGAAGGCUAUGUUAGCCGGGCGACGGUUGUCCCGGUUUAAGCAUGUAGGCUGAUUAUCCAGGCAAAUCCGGAUAAUCAAGGCUGAGGUGUGAUGACGAGGCACUACGGUGCUGAAGUAACAAAUGCCCUGCUUCCAGGAAAAGCCUCUAAGCAUCAGGUAACAUCAAAUCGUACCCCAAACCGACACAGGUGGUCAGGUAGAGAAUACCAAGGCGCUUGAGAGAACUCGGGUGAAGGAACUAGGCAAAAUGGUGCCGUAACUUCGGGAGAAGGCACGCUGGUGUGUAGGUGAAGUCCCUGCGGAUGGAGCUGAGACCAGUCGAAGAUACCAGCUGGCUGCAACUGUUUAUUAAAAACACAGCACUGUGCAAACACGAAAGUGGACGUAUACGGUGUGACGCCUGCCCGGUGCCGGAAGGUUAAUUGAUGGGGUUAUCCGUAAGGAGAAGCUCUUGAUCGAAGCCCCGGUAAACGGCGGCCGUAACUAUAACGGUCCUAAGGUAGCGAAAUUCCUUGUCGGGUAAGUUCCGACCUGCACGAAUGGCGUAAUGAUGGCCAGGCUGUCUCCACCCGAGACUCAGUGAAAUUGAACUCGCUGUGAAGAUGCAGUGUACCCGCGGCAAGACGGAAAGACCCCGUGAACCUUUACUAUAGCUUGACACUGAACAUUGAGCCUUGAUGUGUAGGAUAGGUGGGAGGCUUUGAAGCGUGGACGCCAGUCUGCGUGGAGCCAACCUUGAAAUACCACCCUUUAAUGUUUGAUGUUCUAACGUUGGCCCCUGACCGGGGUUGCGGACAGUGUCUGGUGGGUAGUUUGACUGGGGCGGUCUCCUCCCAAAGCGUAACGGAGGAGCACGAAGGUUAGCUAAUCCUGGUCGGACAUCAGGAGGUUAGUGCAAUGGCAUAAGCUAGCUUGACUGCGAGCGUGACGGCGCGAGCAGGUGCGAAAGCAGGUCAUAGUGAUCCGGUGGUUCUGAAUGGAAGGGCCAUCGCUCAACGGAUAAAAGGUACUCCGGGGAUAACAGGCUGAUACCGCCCAAGAGUUCAUAUCGACGGCGGUGUUUGGCACCUCGAUGUCGGCUCAUCACAUCCUGGGGCUGAAGUAGGUCCCAAGGGUAUGGCUGUUCGCCAUUUAAAGUGGUACGCGAGCUGGGUUUAGAACGUCGUGAGACAGUUCGGUCCCUAUCUGCCGUGGGCGCUGGAGAAUUGAGGGGGGCUGCUCCUAGUACGAGAGGACCGGAGUGGACGCAUCACUGGUGUUCGGGUUGUCAUGCCAAUGGCACUGCCCGGUAGCUAAAUGCGGAAGAGAUAAGUGCUGAAAGCAUCUAAGCACGAAACUUGCCCCGAGAUGAGUUCUCCCUGAGACUUUAAGUCUCCUGAAGGAACGUUAAAGACGAUGACGUUGAUAGGCCGGGUGUGUAAGCGCAGCGAUGCGUUGAGCUAACCGGUACUAAUGAACCGUGAGGCUUAACCUU